rnacentral:misc_RNA from 1 species
GAAAACCGUAUGUAGCGUAACGUAGCAUACCAGGUGGCGAAAGACGAAAAGGCCCAUCCCCAUUUCCCAUUAUUAGCUUUUUGGCGGCCCCGCUUUCCUAAUAUAAUCACUUCCGUCAUUGACGUUUUCGAGUCUAAACAGAGCAGAGAGCCAGAGAGUGAGCUUCGCAGAUCGUUGAAAGAUCGAAAGAACUCGACAAUGUCUACCCUUAUAGUUCCUCAACCACCUCCACCCGUGGCCGAUGACUGUGAGCAGCUUAGAAAGGCCUUUUCAGGAUGGGGGACAAACGAGGGCUUGAUCAUAUCCAUAUUGGGUCACAGAAAUGCUGCUCAACGCAAGCUGAUCAGGGAGACUUAUGCUGAGACCUACGGAGAAGAUCUCCUCAAGGCAUUGGACAAGGAACUUUCAAAUGAUUUUGAGAGAGUGGUGCUGCUCUGGACGCUUGGUCCUGCUGAACGCGAUGCAUUUUUAGCUAAUGAGGCAACUAAGAGAUGGACAUCAAGCAAUCAGGUUCUUAUGGAAAUCGCCUGCACAAGGUCUUCAAAUGAAUUGCUUCAGGCAAGACAGGCGUAUCAUGCUCGCUUUAAGAAGUCCCUUGAAGAGGAUGUUGCACAUCACACAACUGGGGACUUCCGCAAGCUUUUGUUUCCUCUUGUGUGCUCAUACCGAUACGAGGGGGAUGAGGUGAGCAUGACCCUCGCAAAAACAGAGGCUAAGUUGCUCCACGAGAAGAUUUCCAAGAAGGCUUAUGGUGAUGAGGAUUUCAUCAGGGUUUUGGCUACCAGGAGCAAAGCACAGAUUAAUGCUACUCUGAACCAAUACAAAAAUGAGUUUGGCAAUGAUCUCAACAAGGUAUGGAAGAAGUAAGCUUUACAAUUUGCCUAUCCCAUAAGAUGACUUUAUAGGUAUUUUCAUAUCAUCACUACCCUAUCCACUCCAUUUUCAUUGGUAACAGGGAAUUUCAACUUAUUGGCAGCCCCAUUCUUGCUAUUGCACAUUUUUUUUAUUUGAUUAAUUGAUUUGUUUGAAUUGGCCCUUGUGUUUGAAGGACUUGAAGACUGACCCCAAGGAUGAAUUCCUCGCACUAUUGAGGGCCACAGUGAAGUGCUUGACACGCCCAGAGAAAUACUUUGAGAAGGUUCUUCGUCUCUCUAUCAACAGACGAGGAACAGAUGAAGGAGCUCUGACUAGAGUUGUCACUACAAGGGCAGAGGUUGACUUGAAGAUUAUAAAAGAUGAGUAUCAGCAAAGGAACAGUGUUCCUUUGGACCGUGCCAUAGUCAAGGACACCCAUGGGGAUUAUGAAAAGAUGCUCCUGGCACUGAUCGGGCAUAAGGAGGAUUGAGCUGUGAAUCUGUUUCGAGGGGCACUAUAUCAUGAAGGUUGUGGUGGUUGCGGUUUCACCUUGCUGGAUGUGGUUUCAAGACAGAAUAAAUCCUUGUAAUUUGAUGUGUUUUAUUUUCAGUCGGAUGGCUAUGUGAAGCUGGUCUAUGAAAACUUCACCUAUCGUCACAUCAAUAAAAUUAUAUAACUAUGUUUGCCCUGUUUAAAGAAUUUCCAGGUUGCUGCUGCAUCAAUUGGAAGGGGUUAAAAGCUGUAGCCUUUGCAUCAUUUGAAAAGUUCAUAUAAUGCAAACAUUGAAAGUAGAAUCCAAAAUCAAGGUAUCUAGCCACAUACAUGCUGAGGGUUAGGCAAUGCCUGAAUAUGUUUUUGUAGCCUUUACCUCUAGAAUAGGAUAAUGUUAUCCUGGAAAACAUCUCCAUUCCUAUUGAUUUCCA